GAGAGUUUGAUUCUGGCUCANNUUGAACGCUGGCGGCAGGCCUAACACAUGCAAGUCGAGCGGAUGAGGGGAGCUUGCUCCUCGAUUCAGCGGCGGACGGGUGAGUAAUGCCUAGGAAUCUGCCUAGUAGUGGGGGACAACGUUUCGAAAGGAACGCUAAUACCGCAUACGUCCUACGGGAGAAAGUGGGGGAUCUUCGGACCUCACGCUAUUAGAUGAGCCUAGGUCGGAUUAGCUAGUUGGUAGGGUAAAGGCCUACCAAGGCGACNAUCCGUAACUGGUCUGAGAGGAUGAUCAGUCACACU
rnacentral:rRNA from 1 species